CUAGAGUCUGACGGAGCACGCCGCGUGAGUGAUGAAGGCUUUCGGGUCGUAAAACUCUGUUGUUAGGGAAGAACAAGUGCUAGUUGAAUAAGCUGGCACCUUGACGGUACCUAACCAGAAAGCCACGGCUAACUACGUGCCAGCAGCCGCGGUAAUACGUAGGUGGCAAGCGUUAUCCGGAAUUAUUGGGCGUAAAGCGCGCGCAGGUGGUUUCUUAAGUCUGAUGUGAAAGCCCACGGCUCAACCGUGGAGGGUCAUUGGAAACUGGGAGACUUGAGUGCAGAAGAGGAAAGUGGAAUUCCAUGUGUAGCGGUGAAAUGCGUAAAGAUAUGGAGGAACACCAGUGGCGAAGGCGACUUUCUGGUCUGUAACUGACACUGAGGCGCGAAAGCGUGGGGAGCAAACAGGAUUAGAUACCCUGGUAGUCCACGCCGUAAACGAUGAGUGCUAAGUGUUAGAGGGUUUCCGCCCUUUAGUGCUGAAGUGAACGCAUUAAGCACUCCGCCUGGGGGAGAG
rnacentral:rRNA from 1 species